rnacentral:misc_RNA from 1 species
GAUGAAGACGCAGUGAAAUGCGAUAAGUAGUGUGAAUUGCAGAAUUCAGUGAAUCAUCGAAUCUUUGAACGCACAUUGCGCCCUUUGGUAUUCCAAAGGGCAUGCCUGUUCGAGCGUCAUUUGUACCCUCAAGCUUUGCUUGGUGUUGGGCGUCUUGUCUCUAGCUUUGCUGGAGACUCGCCUUAAAGUAAUUGGCAGCCGGCCUACUGGUUUCGGAGCGCAGCACAAGUCGCACUCUCUAUCAGCAAAGGUCUAGCAUCCAUUAAGCCUUUUUUUCAACUUUUGACCUCGGAUCAGGUAGGGAUACCCGCUGAACUUAAGCAUAUCAAUAAGCGGAGGA